rnacentral:piRNA from 1 species
UCCUAAGAGAAUCAGGGUCCUUUCUAGGGU